rnacentral:rRNA from 1 species
AGUUCUGGGCCGCACGCGCGCUACACUGACAGAGCCAGCGAGUCUACCACCUUUGCCGGAAGGCAUGGGUAAUCUUGUGAAACUCUGUCGUGAUGGGGAUAGAACAUUGCAAUUAUUGUUCUUCAACGAGGAAUACCUAGUAAGCGUGAUUCAUCAGAUCGCGUUGAUUACGUCCCUGCCCUUUGUACACACCGCCCGUCGCUACUACCGAUUGAAUGGCUUAGUGAGGCCUCCGGAUUGGCUAUUGGGAGCUCGCGAGAGCACCCGACUGCCGAGAAGUUGUACGAACUUGGUCAUUUAGAGGAAGUAAAAGUCGUAACAAGGUUUCCGUAGGUGAACCUGCGGAAGGAUCAUUAGUGAAUAUAGGACGUCCAACUUAACUUGGAGUCCGAACUCUCACUUUCUAACCCUGUGCAUUUGUUUGGGAUAGUAACUCUCGCAAGAGGGCGAACUCCUAUUCACUUAUAAACACAAAGUCUAUGAAUGUAUUAAAUUUUAUAACAAAAUAAAACUUUCAACAACGGAUCUCUUGGCUCUCGCAUCGAUGAAAAACGCAGCGAAAUGCGAUAAGUAAUGUGAAUUGCAGAAUUCAGUGAAUCAUCGAAUCUUUGAACGCACCUUGCGCUCCAUGGUAUUCCGUGGAGCAGCCUGUUUGAGUGUCAUGAAUACUUCACCCUCCUCUUUCUUAAUGAUUGAAAAGGGUUUGGUUUCUGAGCCUGCUGGCCUUUAGGGCUACUCGUUCGAAGGAUUACCUCCGCAUCGACUCGGAUGCUUGCUAAAAAUAUCCUGAGAUCAUCUCGAUAACCGGUGGUAAGACUCAUCAAUGCACUUUAAUAACCAACGG